GACAGAGGUCCCGAGCGUUAGGCGGAAUCACUGGGCUUAAAGCGUGUGUAGGCGGAUCGUUAAGUGCCUUGUGAAAUCCCACGGCUUAACCGUGGAACUGCUUGGCAUACUGGCGGUCUUGAGCAACCUAGGGGCAAGCGGAACAAAUGGUGGAGCGGUGAAAUGCGUAGAUAUCGGGAGGAACACCAGUGGCGAAGGCGGCGACCUGGACGGACACUGACGCUGAGACGCGAAAGCGUGGGGAGCAAACAGG
rnacentral:rRNA from 1 species